GAUGAACGCUGGCGGCGUGCCUAAUACAUGCAAGUCGAGCGACGCGGGGACGGGUGAGUAACACGUGGAUGACCUCCUAUAAGACUGGGAUAAACUCGGGAAACCGUUGGCAAUCCGGCAUCUUUUCGAUGGUGGCACGCGGCAUUAGCUAGUUGGUGAGGUAACGGCUUACCAAGGCAACGAUGCAUAGCCGACCUGAGAGGGUGAUCGGCCACACUGGAACUGAGACACGGUCCAGACUCCUACGGGAGGCAGCAGUAGGGAAUCUUCCGCAAUGGGCGAAAGCCUGACGCAGCAACGCCGCGUGUGUGAAGAAGGCCUUCGGGUUGUAAAAUUCUGUUAGUGGGGAAGCGGUACCCGCACAGGAAGCACCGGCUAACUCCGUGCCAGCAGCCGCGGUAAUUC
rnacentral:rRNA from 1 species